rnacentral:tRNA from 1 species
GGUCUCAUGGUGUAAUGGUCAGCACUCUAGACUUUGAAUCCAGCGAUCCGAGUUCGAAUCUCGGUGAGACCU